UACGAAGGGGGCUAGCGUUGCUCGGAAUCACUGGGCGUAAAGGGUGCGUAGGCGGGUCUUUAAGUCAGGGGUGAAAUCCUGGAGCUCAACUCCAGAACUGCCUUUGAUACUGGCGAUCUUGAGUCCGGGAGAGGUGAGUGGAACUGCGAGUGUAGAGGUGAAAUUCGUAGAUAUUCGCAAGAACACCAGUGGCGAAGGCGGCUCACUGGCCCGGUACUGACGCUGAGGUGCGAAAGCGUGGGAGCAAACAGG
rnacentral:rRNA from 1 species